GAGACAGCAGCCGCCACGGUAAUACGUAGGGGGCAAGCGUUAUCCGGAAUAACUGGGCGUAAAGGGUGCGCAGGUGGUUUAACAAGUUAGUGGUGAAAGGCAUAGGCUCGACCAAUGUAAGCCAUUAAAUCUGUUUAACUUGAGUGCAGGAGAGGAAAGUGGAAUUCCUAGUGUAGCGGUGAAAUGCGUAGAUAUUAGGAGGAAUACCAGUGGCGAAGGCGACUUUCUGGACUGCAACUGACACUGAGGCACGAAAGCGUGGGGAGCAAACAGGAUUAGAUACCCGUGUAGUCCCUGUCUCUUAUACA
rnacentral:rRNA from 1 species